rnacentral:rRNA from 1 species
GUCAUCGAAUACUUAGUACGGCGAGUGAGCGGUAAAAGCUCAAAUUUGAAAUCUGGUACUUUCAGUGCCCGAGUUGUAAUUUGUAGAAUUUGUCUUUGAUUAGGUCCUUGUCUAUGUUCCUUGGAACAGGACGUCAUAGAGGGUGAGAAUCCCGUUUGGCGAGGAUACCUUUUCUCUGUAAGACUUUUUCGAAGAGUCGAGUUGUUUGGGAAUGCAGCUCAAAGUGGGUGGUAAAUUCCAUCUAAAGCUAAAUAUUGGCGAGAGACCGAUAGCGAACAAGUACAGUGAUGGAAAGAUGAAAAGAACUUUGAAAAGAGAGUGAAAAAGUACGUGAAAUUGUUGAAAGGGAAGGGCAUUUGAUCAGACAUGGUGUUUUUUGCAUGCACUCGCCUCUCGUGGGCUUGGGCCUCUCAAAAAUUUCACUGGGCCAACAUCAAUUCUGGCAGUAGGAUAAAUCAUUAAGAAUGUAGCUACCUCGGUAGUGUUAUAGCUUAUUGGAAUACUGCUAGCUGGGAUUGAGGACUGCGCUUCGGCAAGGAUGUUGGCAUAAUGGUUAAAUGCCGCCCGUCUAGAAACAAAGACACA